GAUGAACGCUGGCGGUAUGCCUAACACAUGCAAGUCGUACGAGAGUUUUUAAUUCUAGUGGCGGACGGGUGAGUAACACGUGAGAAUUUGCCUUUAGGAGGGGGAUAACAAUUGGAAACGAAUGCUAAUACCCCAUAUGCUUUUGAGUGAAAUGGAUUUUAUCCGCCUAGAGAGAAGCUCGCGGCUGAUUAGCUUGUUGGUAAGGUAAGAGCUUACCAAGGCGACGAUCAGUAUCUGGUUUGAGAGGACGAUCAGACACACUGGAACUGAGACACGGUCCAGACUCCUACGGGAGGCAGCAGUGGGGAAUUUUCCGCAAUGGGCGAAAGCCUGACGGAGCAAUACCGCGUGAGGGAAGAAUGCCUAUGGGUUGUAAACCUCUUUUUUCAGGGAGGAAUAAAAUGACGUGUACCUGAAGAAUAAGCAUCGGCUAACUCCGUG
rnacentral:rRNA from 1 species